UACGUAGGGUGCGAGCGUUAAUCGGAAUUACUGGGCGUAAAGCGUGCGCAGGCGGUUUUGUAAGUCAGAUGUGAAAUCCCCGGGCUUAACCUGGGAAUGGCAUUUGGGACUGCAAGGCUGGAGUGUGGCAGAGGAGACUGGAAUUCCUGGUGUAGCAGUGAAAUGCGUAGAUAUCAGGAGGAACACCGAUGGCGAAGGCAGGUCUCUGGGCUGACACUGACGCUCAUGCACGAAAGCGUGGGGAGCAAACAGG
rnacentral:rRNA from 1 species